rnacentral:rRNA from 1 species
UGGGGAAUUUUGGACAAUGGGCGAAAGCCUGAUCCAGCAAUGCCGCGUGUGUGAAGAAGGCCUUCGGGUUGUAAAGCACUUUUGUCCGGAAAGAAAUCCUCUGGGUUAAUACCUCGGGGGGAUGACGGUACCGGAAGAAUAAGCACCGGCUAACUACGUGCCAGCAGCCGCGGUAAUACGUAGGGUGCAAGCGUUAAUCGGAAUUACUGGGCGUAAAGCGUGCGCAGGCGGUUUUGUAAGACGGAUGUGAAAUCCCCGGGCUUAACCCGGGAACUGCAUUCGUGACUGCAAGGCUAGAGUAUGGCAGAGGGGGGUAGAAUUCCACGUGUAGCAGUGAAAUGCGUAGAGAUGUGGAGGAAUACCGAUGGCGAAGGCAGCCCCCUGGGCCAAUACUGACGCUCAUGCACGAAAGCGUGGGGAGCAAACAGGAUUAGAUACCCUGGUAGUCCACGCCCUAAACGAUGUCAACUAGUUGUUGGGGAUUCAUUUCCUUAGUAACGUAGCUAACGCGUGAAGUUGACCGCCUGGGGGAGUACGGUCGCAAGAUUAAAACUCAAAUGAAUUGACGGGGUCAUAGCUGUUUCCU